rnacentral:rRNA from 1 species
UUCAGAGGUCUCGAGCGUUGUUCGGAUUUACUGGGCGUAAAGGGAGCGUAGGCGGCCGGGUGUGUCGAAUGUGAAAGCCCACAACUCAACUGUGGAAUGGCAUUCGAAACUACCUGGCUAGAGUACUGGAGAGGAGAGCGGAAUUCUUGGUGUAGCGGUGAAAUGUGUAGAUAUCAAGAGGAACACCGGUGGCGAAGGCGGCUCUCUGGACAGAUACUGACGCUGAGGCUCUAAAGUUAGGGGAGCAAACAGGAUUAGAUA